rnacentral:rRNA from 1 species
CUGCUGGUGAGGCUGGACAGGGGCAGGGGCCGCCUCAAGGAGACGGUAGAGGGGCUGAGGGUGAAAGAUGCCGGGUUGCUGGAGGGUCUCGGGGCACUGCACGUUGCUGCAUGCAGAGAGCGGCUGGAGGUGUGCAAGUACCUCAUCGAGGAGCUGGAGGUUGAUGUGAACGGCGUCGACAAGGGAGGUAGAACACCUCUGUUUUUUGCUAUACAUCGUAAGGAUGUGGGUAUCGCCAAAUAUCUUCUUGAUCAUGGUGCCAAUCCAAACAAAAUCAACAACGAUGGGAUCUCCCCUUUACAUCAAGCUACUGUAUCAGGAAAUUGUGAAGCUGUUAAACUAUUGCUUGCUAAAGGAGCCUAUGUUGACCCGGUAGCUUCUUGUGGGACACCACUUCAUUGCGCUGCUAGUGAAGGGCAUGAUGACAUCAUGAAGAUUUUAUUGGGCCACAAUGCAGAUUGCAACAAAUUGGUAAAUGGUAAGUCACCUCUUAAUACAGCUACAGAUGCUAAUUCAAAGAACUGCAUGCUUCUCCUGCUUAAGGCUGGUGCUGAUCGCAAGGGGGCAGCAACCUAUGCUGCGGAGAAACUUCAGUCUGAAAAAGUUGUUUCAACCGAGUUCGUCAAUUGCAUUAUGGGGGAUGUUGCUGCCAAUUGUAUUCUUCCUGAUGAUGACGAGUUUGAGUCUAAAAGAAAAAUUAGAGUGGCUGGAUUUCAGAAACUUGCGAGUUUCUCUUUCAAGGGGGAGGAAUAUCAUUCUGCAGCGAUGUCGUACACUGUGGCAAUAAAGUUUGAUCCCAACAAUGCAACAUUGUACUCAAACAGGAGCCUUUGUUGGCUUCGCAUGGGCGAGGGCUACAAGGCUUUGUUGGACGCUGAUGAAUGCAGAAAAUUGCGGCCUGACUGGCCAAAGGCCUUUUACCGGCAGGGUGCAGCUCUGAUGUUGCUGAAGGAUUACAAGGGUGCAAGCGAACAUUUCUUGGAUGGACUCAAGUUGAACCCAGCCAACACUGAGAUGGAGGAUGCAUUACGGUAUCCCAUCUCUGCCUAG